rnacentral:rRNA from 1 species
GAUGAACGCUGGCGGCGUGCCUAAUACAUGCAAGUCGAGCGAACGGACGAGAAGCUUGCUCUUCUGAUGUUAGCGGCGGACGGGUGAGUAACACGUGGAUAACCUACCUAUAAGACUGGGAUAACUUCGGGAAACCGGAGCUAAUACCGGAUAAUAUUUUGAACCGCAUGGUUCAAAAGUGAAAGACGGUUUUGCUGUCACUUAUAGAUGGAUCCGCGCUGCAUUAGCUAGUUGGUAAGGUAACGGCUUACCAAGGCAACGAUGCAUAGCCGACCUGAGAGGGUGAUCGGCCACACUGGAACUGAGACACGGUCCAGACUCCUACGGGAGGCAGCAGUAGGGAAUCUUCCGCAAUGGGCGAAAGCCUGACGGAGCAACGCCGCGUGAGUGAUGAAGGUCUUCGGAUCGUAAAACUCUGUUAUUAGGGAAGAACAUAUGUGUAAGUAACUGUGCACGUCUUGACGGUACCUAAUCAGAAAGCCACGGCUAACUACGUG